AAUAGAUACCCUGGUAGUCCACGCCGUAAACGAUGGAUGCUAGCUAUUGGGGGGAAUCGACCCCCUCCGAAGCGAAGCUAACGCGUUAAGCAUCCCGCCUGAGUAGUACGAGCGCAAGCUUAAAACUCAAAGGAAUUAACGGGGACCCGCACAAGCGGUGGAGCGUGUGGUUUAAUUCGAUGGUAAACGAAGAACCUUACCAAGGUUUGACAUCCCGGUAGCCGUUCUCCGAAAGGAGAAUUUCAUUUAGUUGGACCGGUGACAGGUGAUGCAUGGCCGUCGUCAGCUCGUGUCGUGAGAUGUUGGGUUAAGUCCCGCAACGAGCGCAACCCUUAUGAUUUAGUUGGAUUUUUCUAAACAGACUGCCCUGGUAACAGGGAGGAAGGAGGGGAUGAUGUCAGGUCAGUAUUUCCCUUACACCUUGGGCGACACACGCGCUACAAUGGCCGGUACAAUGGGCAGCUAAGCCGCGAGGUGGAGCAAAUCCCAUCAAAGCCGGUCCCAGUUCGGAGUGCAGGCUGAAACCCGCCUGCAUGAAGCCGGAAUCGCUAGUAACCG
rnacentral:rRNA from 1 species